GCCCGUGUCGCAUAAUCUGGUAGUGCGAGAGGCUCGAACCCUCUUUUCCUUCGGGAUAUUUUCGUCAAGAAUAGUUCAGGGCGAAGACUCGAAAUUUCGGUUCAAAUCCGAACGCGGGCG
rnacentral:tRNA from 1 species